rnacentral:rRNA from 1 species
ACUCCUACGGGAGGCAGCAGUGGGGAAUAUUGCACAAUGGGCGCAAGCCUGAUGCAGCCAUGCCGCGUGUAUGAAGAAGGCCUUCGGGUUGUAAAGUACUUUCAGCAGUGAGGAAGGUGGGUAUGUUAAUAGCAUAUCUUNAUGUAUGCUGCAGAAGAAGCACCGGCUAACUCCGUGCCAGCAGCCGCGGUAAUACGGAGGGUGCGAGCGUUAAUCGGAAUUACUGGGCGUAAAGCGCAUGCAGGUGGUUUGUUAAGUCAGAUGUGAAAGCCCGGGGCUCAACCUCGGAAUUGCAUUUGAAACUGGCAAACUAGAGUACUGUAGAGGGGGGUAGAAUUUCAGGUGUAGCGGUGAAAUGCGUAGAGAUCUGAAGGAAUACC